rnacentral:rRNA from 1 species
AUUGAACGCUGGCGGCAUGCUUUACACAUGCAAGUCGAACGGUAACAGGCCUUCGGAUGCUGACGAGUGGCGAACGGGUGAGUAAUGCAUCGGAACGUGCCCAGUCGUGGGGGAUAACGCAGCGAAAGCUGCGCUAAUACCGCAUACGAUCUAUGGAUGAAAGCGGGGGACCGUAAGGCCUCGCGCGAUUGGAGCGGCCGAUGUCAGAUUAGGUAGUUGGUGGGGUAAAGGCCCACCAAGCCAACGAUCUGUAGCUGGUCUGAGAGGACGACCAGCCACACUGGGACUGGGACGCGGCCCAGACUCCUACGGGAGGCAGCAGUGGGGAAUUUUGGACAAUGGGCGCAAGCCUGAUCCAGCAAUGCCGCGUGCAGGAAGAAGGCCUUCGGGUUGUAAACUGCUUUUGUAUGGAACGAAACGGCUCUCUCUAAUACAGAGGGCUAAUGACGGUACCGUAAGAAUAAGCACCGGCUAACUACGUGCCAGCCGCCGCCGUAA